AUGCAUCCUCAAUCCCACCAAGAGACCCAGCAAUACCAGACGCACUAUGGCUAUCUUAUCCACCACAACCAGUAUGGACAGCAAGUUGGAAAUGCACAGCCAAAUGGAAACCAAAUCCCAAGUUCCAAUUUAAACCAACAGGCCAAGUUUGGUCCCAUUCAGCAUCACCUUUCCUUGCAUGAUGGAACAUGCCUUCCACAGGCUGGUUACCAUGGAAAUGGAUCUUAUGGAAUAUCACCAGCAUAUCAGAAUUCUGUGUGCCCACCUGCAGCUCCAGCCCCAGCGGCAGGUACCCAUAGCACUCCACUAUAUGGAUACAUCAUUCCAUCGGGCGGUACCCAGAAUUUCCAGAAGAUGCAGUCACACACUGGGGCACAACCUGCACACAUACCUUCUUCAGGAACAACACAGGACUGGCAUGCGAGGAACAGCUCACAAACUAACGUGACACAAAGCACACCCAGGCAACCUCAAUCAGAAACAAAACAAGACUGGCAUACGAGGAACAGCUCACAAACUAACAUGAAUGUCAUCAUGCCAAACGGAGGAUUACACAUGUCAAUGAGCCAACGUCAGGCUACUGUUAACAACCUGAAUGGUCACAAUAGAUCUCCUCAAGCAGCCCAGGCAUUACAGGUACAGCAAUCCACUACUCAAGGUCAAGUCCAAAAUCCUCCUGCCCAUCAACAAAUCAGUUUGGCUGCAUGGCAGAUCUUUCUGACACAGCCGAAUGUGGCACAGGCUUAUCAUCUAAAGCUAACGCACAGUAAUCAACAGCAAAAUAUCCAGGUGAAUGGCAGGUUGAGUACCGAAGGCCAUGCACUACAACCAACACAAAAUGGCAGGAUUCCCAGUGGAACAAAUGGACAAGAUGUGAUGGUGUCCUCAUCAACUUCCUCAAGUCCGUGGUCAAGCUGUCAGUUCGUCAAUAAUGUAAACAAUGGGCAAAUUUCCAGGAGAAACAUGACCGUCACAUCACCUACCACUUCACCCAUGGUGGCUUCUCUGCCUCUCUACUCAAACAACUCGACCAGCUCCCCUCCUGUCUCCACGGGCUUGAAUAGAUUACCGCUCCCCCCGUAUCCUUAUGGGACACCCUCACAGUCGGCUCCUUCCCAAAACAUGAGCGUUUUCCCCUCUGGUUCCAGAGGUCUGCCGCCCUCAGCCAUCAGAGCCAAUGGUUUGCCCCCUCCUUAUCACAUAUUGGACAGUUCCAGCUCUGCCCACACCGACCAGAACAGUCCUCCUGCUCUGGACAAUUCAAACAGAAAUGGAGAUAGAGCUCCUAACCUCAGCAAUGGCACUCUAGUUAAUAGUACACCUAUCCAACAACAAAACUCACCUGUCGUUGUCUCAGACCAGCACAGAUUGUCCCAACUGGCUUCACAGAGGGAAGCGGAUCUGUACUACAACCAUGGACCAAACGUGCCUGACAGACCUGCCUUAAUUUCGAUAGACAAGCGGAGUCUACUGCUUAAGUAUCUCCUCAGAAAGAAAAAAACGGACAUUGACCAGGUUUGCUUUGGGGACUUACUUACUACUCUAAGAACUGACAAAGUGCAAGGGUACCCUAAGAAAAGUGUGCAGGUACACAGAGCUGUUGCAGUUGUACCUCCCAUAUCACAGCAGCUUUGCAGAAAGAGUAGUUGUGAUGAGGUUCCAUUUACAAUAGAAAAAGUUUGGUCUCUUACUGAUGAAAAGCAAACAGAGGAGGCCAGUGCUUUGCUUUUGGACAGUGACUGUUCCUCUAUAAGAAAGUCAUCAUCUAGUGGAAAGGGAUCAGAGGAUGGCGGUUGUCCUAAAGAUGGUGUGACAGCUGGUCAAGGUUCACACCCAGAGUCAGCAGUCUGCUCAAACACAAAUUCUCUCAACAAUCUGAUUACUGAGAAGGAAGAUGCUCCCAAGGACCAGAACCAUGGAGACCUAGGUAGAUCAGAUUGUUUUUUUGGCAUGUCAGCAGUGACGUGGAGUCUAGGAAAGGUGAGGAAAUUGGUGGCAGCCUUGGAACUGCUAGAACAAAAGCCACACAGAAAUGACCAGAAUGGACAAGACUUUGCACGCACUAUACUUGAUCUUUAUUGGGAUAGAAGCUAUCAUAACUACAUUGUGACAGAGCUAGGUGGUACCUUUGGAAAUAUAUUGAAGGAGGCUGCAGAGUUUGACACAGAGGAAGACAAGAUUGUGUUUGAUGCCAUGCAGGUAAAUGAUUUAGAUCAGCUAAAUAGCAAGUGCCACAUUCUUACCAGUUGCUUUGACGGUGGCAUCGCCACAGAAGUGGAUAAGUCAUCCUGGAGAAAUGUAAGUGAUGAAUCAUUGAACAUUUGCAAAGAAUUGACAGAUGAAGAUUUUAUUAGAAAAAACAUGGGGUCAUUGCUGGAAAAUUCCAAUGACAAGGCACAGGAGACAGACUUGUUCAAUAACAUUGAGGCUCCAUGUACCACAUCUUUCCGUGAGAACAGUGUGUCUAAGGAAGAUCUUCAAGCAUCCUCAGACCAGGCUGAACAGACUGAUCACAUCAUACCCCAGAGUCAAGAUGAUCUGGAAGAUCUCCACGCAUUCUCAGACCAGGCUGAACAGACUGGUCACAUCAAACCCCAGAGUCAAGAUGAUCUUGGACAAAACUCUACAAUGCCCAUCUCCACCACCAGUAAUAGACUUGAAAACAAGGAAGUUGAUCUCUCCCUUCCGGUUCAGGUGUCCUUCAUAAAUCCUAGCAGACUUUCAGACCAAAACCAAGCUCCUGCUGACCUUCAGAAGGACACUGCAUAUCAAACUGCUGAGGUGUAUGAUGGCCAUGACCCUAAACAGUGUUUCAGAAUUGCAUUAGAUGGAUCAGAUGAAUAUAUAAGAACAUCAUCAAAAGAUUCUCAUCAUCAAAAGAACUCUCAUCAUAUCAGUCAGGAUUUGGAUCACAAGGAGUGUUUGCCUAAAGAGGGUUGUGAAUUGUCAGAAAGCAUCUGUGAACAGGCAGAAACAUCAGACGAAGGCUGUCCAAAGAACCAGGAUGAUGCCAUGCUGUCCAUCAAAUUAAAUGUUUUGUCAUCUGAGAACGAAAUUAAGACUUUUAAUUCUAAUUAUGUAGAUCAGGACCUUGUCAGUUCUCCACAGGAAGAUCCCCCCUCACCUACUCUAUUCAUCGACACCCAGUCAGAUGAGUUUGAUCAAGACAGUCCUAUGAGUCCAGAUGAACCCAUGCUGUCAAUGAAGAUAACAGUGCUCUCAUUGGAUGAGUUAAAGGCAUUUUCAAAGGAAUUCUGUGAAGACUCUGAUGACAGUGUGUACAGUGUUGCUGCUUCUUCUCCCAUUUGCCUUGAUAGUAGUGAUCAUUCUGAGGGAGAUUUGAGUGAAAUGCUGAAUCAAGAAGAGAUUAACAUACUUAGUGGAGAAGAAGAGAUCCCAUCCUUUCUCUCCAUGGAAGAUGUUUUUAAAUUCAGUGAAAUACAGACAAGUAGGAUGAAAAAGAAACAAAAUGACCACUUAACAAAGUCAACUGGAAAAGAGCAAACUAAUCCUCUCAAAAACUGCAGGAAGGAAAAGGAAACAUCAAUGUCAACGAAGAAACAUCAACAUCCAAAACGAAUCCAUCGGCCAUCCACGCAUUAUGCUCAGAAACACUCAUCAAAUGUUUCCAGAAAGGGCUCUGCUCAGACAGCCCAUAAGAAAACCAAGCCAAGUGGACUGGAGUUUCAUAUUCCCACCUCGUCCCCCAGUGGGACUAAAGCCAGCUCUCCCAUCUCUCCUUCAGCUGCCAUAAGGAAAAAGAAGUCUGACGUAAUGAAGGAACUUGAUUCAUUGCGCACAGGAGAGGGUGAGAAGGUAGAAAAGCCAAGUGCAAGUCAUGUAAAAGGAAGUGGCAGCCCCACCAGCACUUUCCGACCAUUAGCCCAGAAAAAGCGCAGCAGGGAAUCACUCGAAGAGUGUGGGAAUUUGGAUGAGUUGACAGAAGUCCUGGUUCCCUCAGGCCAAUCAUGCCUGAAUGUGACUAAUAAAUCCAGCAUCUCCCAAGACACUGGUGCAGAGGUAACUAAGGCACCAGACAACAAAAGACACAGACAUGAAGCUGUAAACCCCACUGCUACCUCGGGGGCGAAUUAUCUGAAUCUAACAGGAACUACAGAAAAUCCAGAAAUACCAAAGCCCAUGAAAAGAAAAUGUGCAGUGUUAAAGCCAUAUGGUUCAUCACCGUAUUACACAGUUUGUGAACGUGAUUUGCCAGCUAGACUUACAGUUCUGUAUUCCCCGGAAAAGAACUCUGCAAAGAACAAGAUCAUGAACAGUUGGAAGAACAGUUUUGUGCCCACUCCCGUGAAAUCCAGGAGACUAUCAGAACACGCCCCGGAAGAUGAGAACAGGGAGAAGGAUGUGCCUGAAAGAACAUUAAAGCACCAGAACUCGCCUAGCAAGGACAAGGAGGAGCAGCAGAGAUCAUCUGUCAAGGGGCACCAGACCAAAUACAAGAAACGUACCAACAGAUCCUCCAGUCUAGGCGAGAUGAAAAGGGAAGCUCUGAGGAUGGGAAGAUUAAAAAUGUCUCCACGAGAACAGAAGGACAUGGGACUACAUAUAAUUAAACAGUUUCGACGGAAUCAUGUGAAGUUGUGA
rnacentral:lncRNA from 1 species